rnacentral:rRNA from 1 species
UACGAAGGGGGCUAGCGUUGUUCGGAAUUACUGGGCGUAAAGCGCGCGCAGGCGGUUCGUUAAGUUGGGGGUGAAAUCCCCGGGCUCAACCCGGGAAUUGCCUUCAAGACUGUCGAGCUAGAGGACGAGAGAGGUGAGUGGAAUUCCCAGUGUAGAGGUGAAAUUCGUAGAUAUUGGGAAGAACGCCGGUGGCGAAGGCGGCUCACUGGCUCGUUUCUGACGCUGAGGCGCGAAAGCGUGGGGAGCAAACAGG